GUGCAGCAGGCGAGAAACCUUUGCAAUGCGCGAAAGCGUGACAAGGUGACUCCGAGUGCUCAUGCGUAAGCAUGAGCUUUUCCCGAGUGUAAACAGCUCGGGGGAAUAAGGGCCGGGCAAUACCCGUGCCAGCCGCCGCGGUAAUACGGGAGGCCCGAGUGGUGCCCGCGAUUACUGGGCUUAAAGCGUCCGUAGCCGGUCCGGUAAGUCCUUGG
rnacentral:rRNA from 1 species